ensembl:ncRNA lncRNA:CR45245 long non-coding RNA:CR45245
AUUUUCAAUGACCUGCAGCAUUACUUUUUGCUCAGUGUACCGACUAGUAUUGAUGACGCUGAUUGCUGACUUGGCCGACACGUUGCUGGUCUUUGACGUUUUCUAAAAUGAUUGCAACGAAUUACACACAACAGCCGCAACCGAGUGCCGAGCAAAACCUUUCAUAAAAAACAAUGCCAAUGCUGACAUCGAAUCAAUGUAACUACCAGGCUAAGUUAAGACUCCACUCCACUCCAAUCCAAUCGGCAAUCCACUCCAAUCGACGACUCCAACUCUCCAACUUGGCGAAAAGGAAGCAAAGACAGUGCAGCAAGAAAAGAAAAAAUACAAACUAAAUAAAACAAAACAAAACAGACGGCACAUUAAACAUGCAUCCUGUCUGUGCCAAGGUUGCCGCAUUUGCCGCUCUGUAACUCUGCAACAACUCGGCUGAAAAAGCCAACCUCAGAAAGAUAUACUUUGCCACCAACGCCGACGCGAAGAAGCAGGUGUUACCAACAAUUACUUUGCACACGGCUGGCUGACUGGCUGGUUGGCUGGCUGGCUGACUGGCUGACUGGCUGCUCCCUCGCAGAUGAAGACAAAACUAAAAAAAUACUUGAAAAAAACUCCAACUGCAACACCGGCAACAACAGCAUGUUGCUGCUGCGCCAGUUGUUGUUUACAACUAGACAGGCUCUAAAGCUAGACUCUGGGUUUCUACCCUGGCGGAUGCUGGCGCAUAUUAAGCGCAAACUAUUAAAAAUAAAUCAUGGCACAGUAUCAAGAUCGGGCAACGACGAAGACCCGCUCUUGGAUGUUGCAUGUGCUGGAUGUUGCCGCUUGUAUGUCGCUGCAUGUUGCUGCUGUUGUGGCCAAGCGCCGUGCGGCGCUUUUGCAUGCCACUGCUGACUACACUGAGAGCAAAGCGACAUUCGUUUGAGUUGUGCUUGAAGAUUUUUAAAAUUGUAAAUAAUAUUAAAAGGAAGAAGGAAGAACCAUUGAGCUCUAUACUAUAUUUGUACGAAGUAAAUAUCACCAUAUUUAUUUUCCAAGUGUACUGACCGCUGUCCACCUUCAGGACAGGAGAAUGCUGGUUGGUAAAACUCCUAUAUUGGACUUGCCAAUAAUGUCAUUGUGCUGCAACUGCCAUGCCAAAAGACAGCCAACGAUGCCCCGGGUGGACUAUGUGGAGCAGUUGUUAAAGGACAAACAAAGGGACAAAUGAUUGUUGCUGCCGUUGCAGCGGCAUUCACAUGUAGCAGAUCGUACACUUGAAGAAAUGCAAAUGGGCCAACGGAGAGGGAACACUGAGAUUUGCCAAUGAAUGAAGAGUUAUUGGCGUUGGCAAGAUGAUUUUAUUGACAUU